rnacentral:rRNA from 1 species
UGGGGAAUUUUGGACAAUGGGCGCAGGCCUGAUCCAGCCAUGCCGCGUGCAGGAUGAAGGCCUUCGGGUUGUAAACUGCUUUUGUACGGAACGAAAAGACUCCUUCUAAUAAAGGGUGUCCAUGACGGUACCGUAAGAAUAAGCACCGGCUAACUACGUGCCAGCAGCCGCGGUAAUACGUAGGGUGCAAGCGUUAAUCGGAAUUACUGGGCGUAAAGCGUGCGCAGGCGGUUAUGCAAGACAGAGGUGAAAUCCCCGGGCUCAACCUGGGAACUGCCUUUGUGACUGCAUAGCUAGAAUACGGGAGAGGGGGAUGGGAUUCCGCGUGUAGCAGUGAAAUGCGUAGAUAUAGGAAGGGACACCAGUGGCGAAAGCGACUACCUGGGCUGAUACUGACACUGAGGUGCGAAAGCGUGGGGAGCAAACA